rnacentral:tRNA from 24 species
GGGCGGUUAGCUCAGUUGGUUAGAGCGCUACCUUGACACGGUAGAGGUCACAGGUUCGAAUCCUGUAUCGCCCACCA